rnacentral:rRNA from 1 species
GACGGUGGCAACGAGUCUGACCUUCUGGCCCGAAAGGGUUGGGCAAACUGGUCAAUCACCGUCAUGACAGGGAUCGGGGCUUGGAAUUGUUCCCCGUGAACGAGGAAUUCCUAGUAAGUGCAAGUCAUAAGCUUGCGCUGAUUACGUCCCUGCCCUUUGUACACACCGCCCGUCGCUACUACCGAUUGAAUGGUUUAGUAAGGUCCUUGGAUUGGCGCCAUUGCAGCCGAAACGCUCAGGCGGUGCUGAGAAGACGACCAAAC